CCCUAAUUAUGCACAGAACAGCGUAACUGUAUGAUUAUAGGACAGGAUUACUCAGUGAUACUAUUAUUUGGGCCUUGUAGAAUAGAAGAAGGGAGAAAAUUGGAUUUAAACAGAGCAGGAUAAUUUUGAUCUUAUAAAGUGUAGAGCAUCAAAGCAGUUUGCUAGCUUGAAUUUUAAAAAUUAUUUCAUUGAUGUUAAUUAUGAAGUGUAAGAAUUUUUAAAUGGUAAAAAUGACUGAUUUGGUCAUUAAACUUUCUGAUUUUGGUCUUUACCAAAAAUAAAAAAACUCCACACUUGUUCCUGAGCCUAGUGUUCUGUGGAAUAACAAUUGUAAAUUAAGGCUUUAAAUUUAGAGGCUAAAUAAGGAAAUUCUGUUUUCGUUUGUUUGUUUGUUUUUGAGACAAAGUCUCGCUCUGAAAUCCAGGCUGCCACUGACUGUGGGGGCUCGAUCAUGGAUCACUGCAACCUUGACCUCCAAGGCUCAAGCCAUCCUCCUGCCUCAACCUCUGGGGUAGCUGGGGCUACAGAGUCUUACCCUGUUGCCCAGGCUGUAGUGCAGCGGCGUGAUCUUGGUUCACUGAAACCUCCACCUCCUGGGUUCAAGUGAUUCUUGUGCCUUAGCUUCCCAAGUAGCUAGGAUGACAGGUGGAGAAAGAGAAGUUUGUCUCCCCGAAAGCCCCUGUGUGCUCAUCUUUAUCUCCCGCCUUCCCCCAUGUCUGCUGUCAAGGUGUUCUGCUGUUCUUUACUGUGGAUAUCUGUUGGCUGUUCUAUGGUGUUGCUGUUCUCACCCCGUCAGAUGCCUGGUGGCUUCUCUCUGUUUCCUCCUGCAAAGAUGUCAAUACCAUACAGAAAAACCAAACACGUCUCAUAUAGCGAGGGAGGCAUUACUGGCGUCAUCUGGUUUGAAGGCCAAACUCCUCCCCAGUGGGACAGAUUGGAGAAGUGACGAUGCGGAGUGGACAGAAGUAGAAUGGAAAAGUCAACCUGUGAAGCACCUGAUGUAUCAAAUGACUUUUUUUUUUUUUUUUUUUUUCUGGGAUGGAAUCUUGCUCUGUUGCCUAGCCUGGAAUGAUCUUGGUUCACUGCAACCUCUGCCUCCCGGGUUCAAGUGA
rnacentral:lncRNA from 1 species